rnacentral:rRNA from 1 species
CCUACGGGAGGCAGCAGUGAGGAAUAUUGGUCAAUGGGCUUACGCCUGAACCAGCCAAGUCGCGUGAGGGAAGACUGCCCUAUGGGUUGUAAACCUCUUUUGUCAGGGAGCAACGCCGGCUACGUGUAGCCGGACUGAGAGUACCUGAAGAAAAAGCAUCGGCUAACUCCGUGUCAGCAGCCGCGGUAAUACGGAGGAUGCGAGCGUUAUCCGGAUUUAUUGGGUUUAAAGGGUGCGUAGGCGGAAUGCCAAGUAAGCGGUAAAAUCGCGGGGCUCAACCUCGCUCCGCCGUUGAAACUGGCGGUCUGGAGUGGGCGAGAAGUAUGCGGAAUGCGUGGUGUAGCGGUGAAAUGCAUAGAUAUCACGCAGAACUCCGAUUGCGAAGGCAGCAUACCGGCGCCCAACUGACGCUGAAGCACGAAAGCGUGGGUAUCGAACAGGAUUAGAUACCCCAGUAGUC